GCCAGGCAUUUCCAAAAAAGAAUAUACACUAAAUAGUUAAAUUCUGGUAUGAAACUGGUCAAAUGAGCGUCAGUGUAGCGGCCAAAAAAAUUCCCGCCAAAAUUUAUCGGCCAGGCAUCCUCUCUUUUCUAUGGUUAUUUCAAUUUUGUCCAUUACCAUUUUUCUUUUUUUUUUUUUUUCUUUUUUGAACCACCACUAUCAUCAAAUAUUGUACAUAUUCUUGCUUUUGUAUCGUUGUCGUCGUUGACGAUGUUAUCACCACCAUAAUUUCCUUUACUUUCUCUGAGAAACCAUUCACUGUUAGUUUAUUCACUAAUAACAAAUACGAUGUUGCAUAGGUUUUGUCUUUAAGGGUAGUUUUGAUAAAAAAGCUAAUUUCUUAAAAUUUUGAAUCAAAGGCUAUUUUCUUAAUUUUUUUUUUUGGUCAACGAUUUUCUUAAUUUUUUUGAGUUAAAGGUUAGUUACUAAUAUUACCCUCUCCAAAAAUGAGUUCAUAUAAGGUUAACUCUUCGAUCAUUUGUUUUUCCCCAUACUACCAAAUACAAAAAAAAAUAACUUAAAAGUGAAUAUCUAGGAUGAAUAAUACAGAAUAGUAUUAGACAUGGUUUUCUUGUUUUAGGCGAAGAGGAAG
rnacentral:lncRNA from 1 species